AGCUCCACGCCGCCCAGCCCCAGCCGGCGCCACCUGCCUCCUGCGCGAGCCGACUCCUCUUGGGGCGCCCGUGAACUUGGGGACUGGAGCGCGGCGCGGCGAGGGCUGGGACGCUCGGGGCCGGACCGCUCAGCACCGCUCCGGGUCCCGUCACUCCGGCCCCGCCGCCGGCAGCCUGGCGGCCGAGCAGGGAGCAGGUUGCCGUGCGCGCCGGGAGUGUUCCUCACCGCCCAGCUCCCAGCCCACACUUGAACCUGCGGCGGGGGGGGGCGGGGCCAGGGCGCCGCCUCCGAAGUAAUUCACAGCCAGAAUGAGCCGCAGCCCGCAGGUCCCCAAGUCCAGAUGCCGGGCGCCAGAACCAGCUCGGCUUAAAGCUGCGAACCACGAACCGGAGGGACGUGCCCAGCCACUAAACGGAAAAGAGGACUUGGUCAAACCGGGUUAUACUUGGCGGGAGUGAUUGGUUCAGGAAGGAUCACAUGACUCACACCAAACCAAUGAGAUUCCGUUUUAAGAAGAUCCCAGAAUUCUUGGGAAGCCUUUUUUUCUCUUGGAUUUGAAGCUGGCAUGUGUCGUGAUGCUGCUGGGGAGAGCCUACUGAAAAUGAAGCCAAUGCAGAAAAAAGUAGAGCCAGAAGAUGGAGAGAGACUGGGUCCCUCUUAUAUCCCAUAAGCCCUAGAACCCAGCUUGCCAGAAAAGGUUCUACCCCUGGAAUUUCAACUUGUCGGUGCAAAUAAAUACCCUAUUCACUUCA